rnacentral:rRNA from 1 species
UACGUAGGUGGCAAGCGUUGUCCGGAUUUAUUGGGUUUAAAGGGUGCGUAGGCGGCCUUAUAAGUCAGUGCUGAAAUAUCCCGGCUUAACCGGGAGGGUGGCAUUGAUACUGCAAGGCUUGAGUGUAGUCGAGGUAGGCGGAAUUGACGGUGUAGCGGUGAAAUGCUUAGAUAUCGUCAAGAACACCGAUAGUGUAGACAGCUUACUAGGCUACAACUGACGCUGAGGCACGAAAGUGUGGGGAUCAAACAGG